rnacentral:rRNA from 1 species
GGCCAAUCGCAUGCUGCGCUUUUAGCCGGUAUGAGGUUUGGUCAUCCGUAAGGGAAGCCAGUACGAACUUCAAUGGUCGGCUGGGGGAACUUACAAUUUACUGUGAAAAAAUUAGAGUGUUUCAGGCAGGCAAUCGCUUGGAUACUCCAGCAUGGAAUAAUGGAAUAGGACUUUGGUCUAUUUGUUGGUUUGAGAUCAAAGUA